UUUUGCUUUACUUAAAAACAGGCCUAUGUUAGCAGUGAUCUUAGUAUUUUGAUCGUUUUUUACUUUUCAGAGGAGUCCUUUGGAACUGAAGUAAAAACCACAUGCUUGAUGAAACGUGUCAGCUAUGUUUUCAUCGGUAAAAUCAAUGUUUUAACUCUGAUUGUCAGGCAUCAGUAAGGGGCAGAUUGCCACAAGAGGUGCUUUUCUAGGAGAAUUGUUAGAUGAGUGGGUGGAAAGGACACCAAGAUUCCCUUUUAUGAGGCUGCUGUCCUCCCACGUGGCCAGAUUGCAACAGCUCCCUCAGCCCUGCACCGGUAUGAAAAGCAGGCUCAGGAGCUCCCUCGGUAGCAGAAGGGAGUUACCUGCCUCCCUGUCUGCUGAAGCUCUGUGAUGGCCGGAUCCUGAUUCCCAGUACAAACUCAUUUAUGGCCCCUCCUAAGCACGCUUGCCCAAGCUCUGGGGCAGCUCACAGGGCUGGUCUCUGUAGGAUGAAAGGACUAUGAGCGUGGUACGGAGCACGUGUAAGGAGGUACCUUUGGUCGCCGUUUCGGAUUUGUCUUUUCGUAUAGCCCUGUGCAUAGGAGGAGAAUUGUAAUCUCAAGCAUUCUUUAAAUCUCCACGACCAAAGGAAAACAAAAGGAGAAAUUAAACUACAGAGAAACACUGCCUGAUAGACUUUCUAUUCUUAAUUAAUUUCUAUAAUGUGCUUUUGGUACCUUUUUUGGUCCAUGCUGAGUCCAAUCACAGCCAUGGCAAAUUCAAUCAUAUUGCAUUAGUUUGAGUCGGGGAAGAAGGGGCAUCAGUUGCCCUUUUUAAUAAUCCAGUGAAGUGAUAUUCUUUGAUGCCAGUCUGCUUUCAGUUGUGUGUCAAUCACAUCUCCUAUUUCCUACCUAAUUGUUAUCUGUGUUAAAUCUGUUGUACAUAUUUUUGUUGCAUUUCUUGCUUUGUUUGAAACAGUCAAACAUAACUGCUGCUACCUGCUCAUCUACUCUGCUUUGAGCAUAGCACUCUCUUCUUUCACCUUGAGUAUUUCCUAUGAUUAUACCAUAUGCAUGCCUAUCGAUCUGACUUUCUAGAUAUUUGAAUAAAAGGAAGAGAGAUAUUGAGGUAUAUCUUAAAGAGGAGAAUUUUGUAGUAGCGUGAUGUGCCACUUUCCUUUAGCAAACAGGUUGCGUCACUACUUGUAACUUGUCUUGUUGAAGACUGCUUGUAAUCUCUUGCCUGUCUUCUCCCCAGAUGUCCGUGUUUGGUGCUGCUUGGGCUGGGUGCCGGUGCUGCGUGGGAGCAGAAGGCAGCCGGCUUCCCAGCACCUCCCGGCACGCACAGGAGCUCAGCGCCUCUUUUGGGAGCUGCCGAGUCGGUGUUUCGUCUCCAUGCUGAGCUGUGGCUUUUGCUGAGCUCCUGCAGGCAGGUGAGCUGCCGCUGAGCACCGGGCAACUCGACGUUAACAGGCUCUUGCCACUGUGCGAGGCAGUGGCUCUCAACGGAGAUGUAAUCUGCGCAUCGUGGGACAAGAACGCAACAAUUCUGCCGGGUUGUAAUGCAACAUACCAACUAUUUUGACUUGGUCUUAGAAAUGCUUUCCAGUGUCAGCUGAAAUUAGUGUUCCCUGUGACCGAAGUCAAUGAAACUUUUUGUGUGAGGAAAAUAGGGUAGGAAGCGGUCUACCUCAGAGAUGUGCAAGUGCUUUUUUCGUAGACGUAACAAAGGUCCAUCUCGCAGGUGGCAGGUGACCCCAUAACUCCGCUGACAGUGGAAUGAUCGAGCUGCACUCCCCCAAGGAAGACAAAGGCAGCGACUGUCCAAGCUUUAUUCAUAUUGGUAAAUGCAAGCUGUAUGAAGUCCUCGUCAUCCGUUUGUAGGAGUAGGAGGGAGCAGCUCUAGAAAAGCUUUAUCCAAGGCUCUUGGAAAUUGGUAGGGGCUGGAGAAGAGCUUCCCCCUUCUACAGAGUUUUGAACAGUGAUGAUACCAUCGAGACUUCUGUUGCACAGCUGGCUCUUGUUCACCUAUAACAAAAUUAUCUGUUCAGAAGGUUUCCCUUGCCUGUUGUGCAACCUUGGAGGGAGUGCAGAAUGUCAUUUAGAAAGCCAGGAAGAUGAGGGAGAGCUGCCUAAAUAGGAAAUGAAGGAAAAUAGGCGAGAAAGAUGAUGAAAACUCUCUGGCCUUGUAAACCGGGUGUUUUUAAGUGGAAAAGGUAGGUACAAAUUUUGUAGUAAAUGAAGAGAUUUGGAUUCCUACGUGGAGGCAUCACUGCUUCCUGGUGACUCCACGUGAGGACUCAGUGCGCUAGAUCUGAGAACGUCUCCUGUGUCACCUCCCAGGAGGGGACAGCCUGACUGCAGAGCAACCUGAGCACCUCGGUGCUGGCCGUGUCCGUGCCGGCCACCAGCAGUUUUGCUCUGGAGACAGACAAGCUUAUUGAGAAUUUUAUACGCUGCCAGACAUGGAUGACAGCUAUGCUAGGGGAUGCUGAAACUCUAAAUGACGUUCUAAAUCUAAAAUACAUGACUCUAAUUACCCUCAUGGGUUUAAUCGUUAGUGAAGGGCCUAAGCAUGAAGUCUCCUGAAAGAAUAAAGAAGUAGGCGCACAUGUGCUGUGCCAUGGACAUCCGCAUUGUCUAUGGAUCAGCAAGCAGAUAUGAAUCAUAAGAUGAAUGUUUUCCCUAUUUUUCUAUUCCUCCUGUGUUUUUCCUUGUUUUUUGUCUCUCCUUUUAUGCAACUAUCAGUGGCCUUGCUAAAGCCACCAUAGUCUUUCAGUGUGCACUGGUAUGCUGAAUAUAUGACCUUUGAAUUCUGUGCUGCGUUGUGACCAUCUCCUUUUUAAGCUUAAAAGGACAUUUCGUCCUGCCACUUCUGUGUAAACAAACUGUGCAAUACUCUAUCCCUGCUACCAUUUUUUUUACUUUUAGAACCUGCAAAAGGGGAUACUAAAGUAGAAGAAAAUUGUUCAAGAAGUGGAAAGCAUUUGAAUUAUUUGGGAUUGUGUGAGAUACUAGCAAUCUCUGCAGGAACUUAACUUUUUCAGUUCAAGUUGACAUUUAAAUUGUGCUUUGUGCUGGAAAGAAAAAUCAGUGGGAGAAGAGGAAUAUCAGAUGAAACAGUGGCACAUGUGGUAAAUCACAGUUGCCAUUAUUUUGUAAGCAUUACAAAAAUAUACUGGAUUUUAUUGGAAUUGACUGAAAAUUAUUAAAAAUUUGAGAUAAUUUUUGCUUUGGUAAACUGUACCUUACAGAUGGCACAUCAGAGAAAAUUCUCUGCUUGUUAAGGAAUCAAAACAGCUCGGGGAACAUGGCAGCAUCAAUAUAAUAAUAGUUGACAGGUACAGUAGCUGUGAACAAACACCCAUAUCAUGCUAUCUGAGAUACCACAUUUUCCCCACUAAAAUUAAACUAUGAGAUCUCUUUGACAAUGCUAUGUUAAUUAUAUGCCACUGCUCACUUCAGUCUGGCUUCUGCUGCUUCGUUUCCCUCACUAACAGGUCCAGUUUGGAGUUCACCAGUGGCGUUUGGCUAGAAACCCCUUUCCUCAACGACUGCAGCAGGUACUUUCAGCUACACCCUGAACAGAGCUCUAGCAGCUGCUGACGACCUUUUGGGCACCCAGAGUAGAGGCAAGUGAAAUGUAACCCUGUACUAACUCUGUUGCUUGACCCGUGUGUUUGUGUUGAGAGCUAUACUCCUGAUUUUCACCGUGUUUAGUUCCAAAUUAUGUUUUUAUGCCUAAUGUGACAAUAGCGAGGAGGGAUUAGACAUCUUUAGCAUUAGCUGCACGGAUUUGGGACCAAAGGGUUUUUAUGAUAAUUUUCUCUUUCAGUAUGAGACCAAAAUGAUUGUAAAAUUGACAAACUCCUAAUAAAAAUAUUGGCACAAAAGCAGUUAUCAGUCUGUGGUUACAUUUGUCAAAAACCCUUGAUUAAAAUGCUGUUUAAUAAUACAACUACGAUUUAUAUUGCAGUAUAUUGCGCUUUUAUACACAAUAGAGGAUUAGACAAAAUAUCAUGUGUCAAUGAGUGCCACUUCAAGUAAGGUAAUUAAUUCUAUAAUAAGUUCACAACCGUGGUGUUACAUAAUUUCAAAGUUAAUGCAACGUUUUUUUCUCCAUAGGCCUGAAUCAUACAUGUCUGUUCUUCUAGCUACUCUGUCUCCCUAUGUCCUACAGUUGUUUUGGGGGGAAUUAUUCCCUAUAUUUGGUGUGACCCCAACAUCAAAAAAAUAUACGGAAAGUACUUGAUUCAUCCACCAAAGGAUUUGAAGAGUCACUUCUGUUUAUAGGUACAUAUGGGCCUGUACUGCAAGUUUGGGAUCCAGAUUUGGGUUUGGACCUGUCAUUCCCAAGAGUGUAGGCAUAUUUGAGCCCAGCAUCUGAAGUCAAGCUACUGGCGAACUAACAACCUGCUGCAAAGAUCUGGACUGAGUCAAUCUCCCCCAUAUUUCAAGGUAUAGGU